GUUGAACGCUGGCGGCAGGCCUAACUCAUGCAAGUCGAACGGUAACAGGAAGAAGCUUGCUUCUUUGCUGACGAGUGGCGGACGGGUGAGUAAUGUCUGGGAAACUGCCUGAUGGAGGGGGAUAACUACUGGAAACGGUAGCUAAUACCGCAUAACGUCGCAAGACCAAAGAGGGGGACCUUCGGGCCUCUUGCCAUCGGAUGUGCCCAGAUGGGAUUAGCUUGUUGGUGGGGUAACGGCUCACCAAGGCGACGAUCCCUAGCUGGUCUGAGAGGAUGACCAGCCACACUGGAACUGAGACACGGUCCAGACUCCUACGGGAGGCAGCAGUGGGGAAUAUUGCACAAUGGGCGCAAGCCUGAUGCAGCCAUGCCGCGUGUAUGAAGAAGGCCUUCGGGUUGUAAAGUACUUUCAGCGGGGAGGAAGGGAGUAAAGUUAAUACCUUUGCUCAUUGACGUUACCCGCAGAAGAAGCACCGGCUAACUCCGUG
rnacentral:rRNA from 1 species